AGCCUUAAAAUAGCCUUAAAAUGGUUUUAAGGAUCAAAUCUGUAAACGGAAAAGAGGAAAGCGGCACUUUGGGGCAGUGACGUGAAUGUGCGUUAAUAGUCACCUUUAUUUAUUUCGCCUACAAUUUAAGUGAAGCUUAAAACCCUCUUGGAUGGAACAUCAACUCUAAACAAGCACAGGACAGAGCCUACAGUAUGCCGCAGCCUAAAGGCAGAGUGAUGUUGCUGAGGCUGGAGUGAUUACUGGCCUUCUUCUUACAGGGUGGUGGGUCUUGGAGGACAACUGCUGAUCCCUGUUAAAGUGGUCGACAUGUGAAGUGCAACUGGCUCGUGGCAAAGCUGGCUCUGGCCUUGGACUGUGUGGUUUUUAGCCUUCAUUUUUGGCUCAUUGUAUUAAUAAAUUAUUUUUUAGAA